ACUGGCUGCUCGCUUUCAGGCAUCAUCAAAGGGCACUUAGUCAUGUAUGUCAACAGAUAGACCACUCAAAAUUUUCUAGAAUAUUUCAGUUCCUCAACUGGAUAUUUUAAGUAACAAGGGGAUUUCCAUUACUUUAUCAUCUACGUUUUCUUUAACUACUCUAUGUGCCUUUAACACCAUCCAAGUAAUUUAAUGAAGGAAAGGUGGUAGGGAUUUCAUCAUCCCUUCAGUGCAGCUGUAGUAGUCAAUACUGAAUGGAGAAACAUACUGGAUUCCCCAAAACAUUACUUUGGAUUCUUUGGAGAUCAUCUGGUUUCUGCAGUAAGUCCACAGCAACCAACAAAGAGUAGGAAGCCUGCACUGGAAGGAAACGUCUUGUAUGUCCGGUCUUGUCCCUCCCAUCUUCGUGAAGGAGAUCAAAAUUUUGAGAUGCAAAAUUUGACCUACUUCUGUUCUGAUUGACCUGAAAAAGCUUUUACAUACGCAAAGCAGACUAUUUUCUUCCAGAAAAUCAAUCCCUGGAUAAGUUCCCAAAUAUAAGCAAAGAGAUUCCUGAAAUUAUAACAUAAAUAUUGACAGAACAGAAAUAAUCUGGAGAGAAAAGGGGUCAGACGGGUCCACAUUCAAAGGUCAGUCUUACUUUUAAUAAUCUUAAACUAUAUCACUCCCCAAAAAGGCACAAUGGGUGUUGAUUAGAGUAGAGAACUGAAAAUUCAGUUCCAGGUUCUACACUUGAUCAGUGGGGAAAGCGGCCUUUCCUCUUCAAUGUUUUUUAGACCGAAGGCUACCCUAUUUCAGUGCUGACAUGAACUACAGCAGAAAUUGGGACAAGUCAGAAAUAUGUCUAAUAAAAGACACAAAAGACCUGGAACA
rnacentral:lncRNA from 1 species